AUACGGAGGAUGCAAGCGUUAUCCGGAUUUAUUGGGUUUAAAGGGUGCGUAGGCGGAUGAUUAAGCGUGAGGUGAAAUGCCACUGCUCAACAGUGGAACUGCCUCGCGAACUGGUUGUCUUGAAUGCUCCUGCCGUGGGAGGAAUGUGUGGUGUAGCGGUGAAAUGCAUAGAGAUCACACAGAACACCGAUUGCGAAGGCAUCUCACGAAGGGGUGAUUGACGCUGAGGCACGAAAGCGUGGGGAUCAAACAGGAUUAGAUACCCUGGUAGUCCACGCAGUAAACGUUGAUAACUAACCGCUGGGUCGUAGUGAUUCAGUGGCCAAGCGAAAGCGAUAAGUUAUCCACCUGGGGAGUACGACCGCAAGGUUGAAACUUAAAGGAAUUGACGGGG
rnacentral:rRNA from 1 species